rnacentral:misc_RNA from 1 species
GAUUGCGGCUGUUGCGUCGUUUCAUGUGAUAUCCCCGUGUUGCACUUCGGAAGGGCCUAUUGGUGAGCCGGUUCCCAGAUGCCAUGGAAACCGAAGGGGACGCGCUGGGGCAGCCCCACGAUCGCGACCGGUUUGGCGCCGAAGUUCGUUGCGUCCAAGAUCACGAGAUCACUGCGGUCUUCGGGCGCGUUGUAGACGACGGCGAGGACCCACCCCUCGUCUUCGGCGGACGUCGCACUCGCAGGGACGAAGACACCUUCGCCGGCCUGUCUUCCGGGACCGAGCUUCGCGGCGGAUGUCUUCCCCGUCUUCAGGUCGUGCCGCAGCAAGGUGCCGAACGGCUCGACGAAGUCGCCCAGGUCCGCCCUCGUUGUGUACGCGUAGCGAUGGCGUCGGCCCAGGAUUCGCUCAUCGAUGCGCGGGAACUCUUGGAAGCGAUCGUCGAUCCGUUGUUCCCGGACUCGCCCGGCGUCGAGGUCGAUGGUCCACCGAUCGAGCGUUCCGGUUCCGUCGCUCCAGCCGUAGGGGUCAUCGGUGAACAUCUGCUUUGGCGCACGACGUCGAGCACCACCUUGUGGCCGUCGUCGUAGGCGUUGACGGUGUGGAACACGUAGUUGGGUUCGAUGUCGAACCACCGUGGCGCUGUGCUGGCGUCCCGUGGCAGACCCCCACACGCGCACCGGUCUCGGGUUUCCAGACCGCGGGCAUUGGACGCCGUCCGACGAGGGUGAGGUCGAAGACGACUGGCAGGUCGAGGAAUACGACAUAGCGCUCGGUGAUCGCGAAGUCGUGCAUCAUCGUCGCGCGCGGGAUCGCGAUCUCCUUCGAGAGCACGAGCCGGCCGCGCCGGUCGACGACGUGGAAGCGCAGGUACGGCGGUCCGAAGAUUUCAUAGCCGAAGAACAGCAUCUCGCCGGUGACCGGGUCGAUCUUGGGAUGAGCGGUCAUCGACGACCGGAGUGCGCCUGCCUAGUCGUGGCGUCCGAUCGUUUCGAGUUUGGUGUUGAACUCGGUCGGUAACGAGACCUCAUACAACGCCAGGGUCUUGCCCGCGUGCCUGGUGAUGCUCGUCUGCGCGCGGUUCGGCAAGGGGUUCACUUCGGCGGGUUGAUCGCCGAUCGCGUUCUCGUGCAGCAGGUCCGCGGCGGGGUCGGUACGCACCCAACGGUUGCGGUAGCGCGCGCCGCCAUCGCCCAACUCGAUGGCAUGCAGCAUUCCGUCGCCUCCGAACCAGUGGUACAUCGCAGGGUCGGGAGCAAUCGGGUUGGGACCGUUGCGCAACAACGUGCCGCGGAGCUCGUUCGGGAUGCUGCCCUCGAUCGGCAAACGCAUCUUCGUCAGUUCGGUGUCGACGGGCG